rnacentral:rRNA from 1 species
AAGGGCACCACAAGAACGCGUGGAGCAUGUGGCUUAAUUUGACUCAACGCGGGAAAUCUUACCGGGUCCGGACACACUGAGGAUUGACAGGUUCUUGCAGUUCAGUUUACUGAACUGCUUUAAAUAUGCUAGUCCUUUCAUGAUCGUGUGAUAGGUGGUGCAUGGCCGUUCUUAGUUCGUGGAGUGAUCUGUCUGCUUAAUUGCGUUUCAAACAGGACAUUGGGCAACAAGUUGUGAUUCGAGAUUAGCCCUUUCAUUUAUUUGAGAGUUGUGCGCUCGUUUCACACAGCCUAUUUCUGUCCUCAACGCAACGAACGUGACCGCAGCCUCUUGUUGCCUCUCCAUUCAAAAGAGUGUUAGUUGUAGUAUCUUUGGCUGAUGUAUGCUUUGUUGGCAGUGGUGUGCUCAUAGCCUUCGGGUUGUGUUUACAUUGUUGUUGACAUGUGUGUGUGUUAGUUAAAAGGUAUUCGCUAAUAGCUAGCAUUCUUAGUAGAGGCAAACUAGAGGGACCGCUGACAUAUUUAUAUAACCAGAGGAAGGAUGCGGCAAUAACAGGUCUGUGAUGCCCUUAGAUGUUCCGGGCCGCACACGUGCUACAAUGAUCAUUGCAGUGAGCAUCUUACACAGUUUGUGGGAUAUUUUUUACGUUGCAUUUAUUGUAUGAAUUAACCUUUUGAUGUUGUGUUUUUAAUGUAAUUUUGUGUGACAAUGGGUGAAGCUCUCGGGUGGAGUCUGUUGUUUGCACAUUUUUAUGUUGGAUUCAUACGUUAUUUGGUUGUUUGUGCAUGGUGUUUUGUAAGGUAUCCAUUAUCACAACACGCCCACUUCGAAAGUAAGUGGGGAAUCAAUUCGAAGUAAUGAUUUCCACGCGCACAUUUAACCAAUGCAUGAUUUGAAGGCUUUAUGUUUUCUUAUUGUGCUGUGCUUCCAUAAAUUCAUGGUGGGGACAGACCCUUGUUAAUUGUUGGUCUCGGUCUCAACUAGGAAUGCCUUGUACGGGUCUUGGUUCAACAAACCACCG